rnacentral:misc_RNA from 1 species
AUGGCAGAACUUCCGGAUUUAGGAAAACAGUGCAGCGUGGAAACGUGUAAACAACUGGAUUUUCUUCCAUUCCAGUGUGAUGGGUGUGGCAAUGUAUUUUGUUCGGACCACAGGACCAAAGACAAUCAUGGCUGUUCACUUUGUCUACAAGAGAAGACAACUCUUGAAUAUAACGGCCCGAAGGCUUUCACCUGUGACCUGAAUGGCUGUGGUAAUCGGGAGCUCACUCCGCUGCCCUGUGAACACUGCCAGAGGAGCUUCUGCUUGAGACACAGACACCAACAAGACCAUCAGUGUAGCAAGUUACUGGAUGCUCCAGUCCGCGGAGCAAAGACAGCAGAGCAUGUCAAACAGAUAUUAGCUGCUAAGGAAGUGCGUGCACCCGACAAGCCGCGGAGAAUCGUCAACAGCAAGUCGAGCAGCACGGCCAGGAAAGUGGCCCUCAUGAAGCUGAAGAUGCACGCAACUGGAGACAAGGGCAUUCCCGAUUCAGAACGAGUUUACCUCAACGUACAGCUACCACAGACUAGUUCAUUGACUACUGCUGCAAUGUUCUUCUCUAAGACCUUGUCUUGAAAAAACAUUUAUGGUACUGUAGUGAUUAAUUGCUCUCCUAACUAAGAUUAUGAAAUGGAGCAUUGGACGAAUUAUAGAUUAUAUGACAAGCACACAUGGGAUUCCUAAUGCUAACAACACAGUUACAGACAAGAAACUACGUCUUUUCGUGAAUGAGUUGGACGAAGAAUUGCCCGUUGAUGAAAGUUUAGA